rnacentral:rRNA from 1 species
UAAACUGGGAUUAGAUACCCCACUAUGCUUACCUUAAACAAAAUACACCAACCAUUCGCCAGGGGACAACGAGCACUGUUUUUUCAGCUUAAAACCCAAAGGACUUGGCGGUGCUUUACUUCCCUCUAGAGGAGCCUGUUUUAGAAUCGAUACCCCCCGAUCCACCUUACCUUCUUUUGUAUCUCAGCUUAUAUACCACCGUCGUCAGCUUACCCUGCAAGGGAUCAUAAGUAAGCAUAAUUGGUGAACCCCAGCACGUCAGGUCAAGGUGUAGCCAACAAGAAGGAUAAAAUGGGCUACAUUUUCUGACUCAGAAAACAAACGGAAUGCAUACUGAAAUACAUGUCUGAAGGAGGAUUUAGUAGUAAGAUUAGAACAGAGGUAAUCUGAAGCCGGAAGGGCG